rnacentral:rRNA from 1 species
AUUGAACGCUGGCGGCAGGCCUAACACAUGCAAGUCGAGCGAGCGGCGGACGGGUGAGUAAUGUAUGGGAAACUGCCUGAUGGAGGGGGAUAACUACUGGAAAAGGUAGCUAAUACCGCAUAACAUCAGAUGUGCGCAGAUGGGAUUAGCUAGUAGGUGGGGUAACUGCUCACCUAGGAGACGAUCCCUAGCUGGUCUGAGAGGAUGACCAGCCACAAGUGAACUGGUACACGGCCCAGACUCCGACGUGUGGCAGCAGUGGGGAAUAUUGCACAAUGGGCGCAAGCCUGAUACAGCCAGGCCGCGUGUGUGAAGAAUGCCUUCGGGUUGUAAAGCACUUUCAGCGGGGAGGCGUUACCCGCAGAAGAAGCACCGGCUAACUCCGUGCCAGCAGCCGCGGUAAUAC